rnacentral:rRNA from 1 species
GUCCACGCCGUAAACGAUGAGUACUGGGUGUCGCGGGUAGUUGACCCCUGCGGUGCCGUAGCUAACGCGUUAAGUACUCCGCCUGGGGAUUACGGUCGCAAGAUUAAAACUCAAAGGAAUUGACGGGGGCCCGCACAAGCGGUGGAGCAUGUGGUUUAAUUCGACGCAACGCGAAGAACCUUACCUGGGCUAGACAACGGUGGACCGCCCCAGAGAUGGGGCUUUCCCUUCGGGGACUGCCGGUUCAGGUGCUGCAUGGCUGUCGU